rnacentral:rRNA from 1 species
GGAUGCGAUCAUACCAGCACUAAAGCACCGGAUCCCAUCAGAACUCCGAAGUUAAGCGUGCUUGGGCGAGAGUAGUACUAUGAUGGGUGACCUCCUGGGAAGUCCUUGUGUUGCAUUCC